UACAGAGGUGCGAGCGUUAAUCGGAAUUACUGGGCGUAAAGCGUGCGCAGGCGGUUAUGCAAGACAGAUGUGAAAAUCCCCGGGCUUAACCUGGGAACUGCAUUUGUGACUGCAUAGCGUAGAGUACGGGUAGAGGGGGAUGGAAAUUCCGCGUGUAGCAGUGAAAUGCGUAGAUAUGCGGAGGAACACCGAUGGCGAAGGCAGUCCCUGGACCUGUAC
rnacentral:rRNA from 1 species